CAGCCAAAGGCUAUACUUCCCAGCAUCCUUCACAUGUGGUCAUGUGGGAUGUGAGUGGAAGUGAUAGGAGCCAGUGAAUCACUGACAUGUGUUGUUUGUGUCGGUUUCAGAGUUCGAUCCAUCCACAGGAGAGCCUUGCCUUGGCCUGAGGGAGCCACUUUACAGUAAAGGAAGUGGAGGAAGUGAGCCCAUGCCCCUGGAGCUGCUGGUCCUGUAACAUAUACCACACCACCCAGGAGCUGCCAGCCCAACAGAAUGAAACUGCUUCAGCUCAGAGUUGACAACCUCUGAUGGAAGGGUGCCAUCCCUCAGGAUGCAGUGUAUAGCUUGCAUGGUGCUGUGUCUACUCUGAUUCUGGCCUCUUCCAGAGGUCAGCAUCCCAGAGGGGGAACACUUCCAGGAAGAGGCUCACUAAACUUUCAGCUAUGCUGCUUCCUGAAGGCUCCUUGUGCCAAGAGACAAACAGGCAAGGAAAGGAGCCUCCCCUGGGCCACCAGAGGAGGCAGG
rnacentral:lncRNA from 1 species